rnacentral:rRNA from 1 species
UACGGGGGGGGGCAAGCGUUUGUUCGGAAUUACUGGGCGUAAAGGGCUCGUAGGCGGCCAACUAAGUCAGACGUGAAAAUCCCCUCGGCUUAACCGGGGGAACUGCGUCUGAUACUGGAUGGCUUGAGGUUGGGAGAGGGAUGCGGAAUUCCAGGUGUAGCGGUGAAAUGCGUAGAUAUCUGGAGGAACACCGGUGGCGAAGGCGGCAUCCUGGACCAAUUCUGACGCUGAGGAGCGAAAGCCAGGGGAGCAAACGGG